rnacentral:rRNA from 1 species
UACGGGGGGAGCAAGCGUUGUUCGGAUUUGCUGGGCGUAAAGGGCGCGUAGGCGGCGCGACAAGUCACUUGUGAAAUCUCCGGGCUUAACCCGGAGCGGUCAAGUGAUACUGUCGUGCUAGAGUGCGGAAGGGGCUACUGGAAUUCUCGGUGUAGCGGUGAAAUGCGUAGAUAUCGAGAGGAACACCUGCGGCGAAGGCGGGUAGCUGGGCCGACACUGACGCUGAUGCGCGAAAGCCAGGGGAGCGAACGGG